AUACGACCGUACCGCAAACCGACACUGGUGCGCGAGAUGAGUAUUCUAAGGCGCUUGAGAGAACUCAGGAGAAGGAACUCGGCAAAUUGACACCGUAACUUCGGAAGAAGGCGUGCCCUAUUAGUGUGUAGUGAACAACGAAGCAUGAAUGGGUUGCAAAAAAUCGGUGGCUGCGACUGUUUAUUAAAAACACAGCACUCUGCAAACACGAAAGUGGACGUAUAGGGUGUGACGCCUGCCCGGUGCUGGAAGAUUAAAUGAUGGGGUGCAAGCUCUUGAUUGAAGUCCCAGUAAACGGCGGCCGUAACUAUAACGGUCCUAAGGUAGCGAAAUUCCUUGUCGGGUAAGUUCCGACCUGCACGAAUGGCGUAACGAUGGCCACACUGUCUCCUCCUGAGACUCAGCGAAGUUGAAAUUUUUGUGAUGAUGCAAUCUCCCCGCGGAAAGACGGAAAGACCCCAUGAACCUUUACUGUAGCUUUGUAUUGGACUUUGAACAGAUCUGUGUAGGAUAGGUGGGAGGCUUAGAAGCAGGGUCGCUAGAUCUUGUGGAGCCAACGUUGAAAUACCACCCUGGUGUGUUUGAGGUUCUAACCUAGGUCCAUUAUCUGGAUCGGGGACAGUGCAUGGUAGGCAGUUUGACUGGGGCGGUCUCCUCCCAAAGCGUAACGGAGGAGUUCGAAGGUACGCUAGUUACGGUCGGACAUCGUGACGAUAGUGCAAUGGCAUAAGCGUGCUUAACUGCGAGACUGACAAGUCGAGCAGAUGCGAAAGCAGGACAUAGUGAUCCGGUGGUUCUGUAUGGAAGGGCCAUCGCUCAACGGAUAAAAGGUACUCUGGGGAUAACAGGCUGAUACCGCCCAAGAGUUCAUAUCGACGGCGGUGUUUGGCACCUCGAUGUCGGCUCAUCUCAUCCUGGGGCUGUAGCCGGUCCCAAGGGUAUGGCUGUUCGCCAUUUAAAGAGGUACGUGAGCUGGGUUUAAAACGUCGUGAGACAGUUUGGUCCCUAUCUUCCGUGGGCGCUGCAGAUUUGAGGAAGCCUGCUCCUAGUACGAGAGGACCGGAGUGGACACACCUCUGGUGUAUCGGUUGUCACGCCAGUGGCAUUGCCGAGUAGCUAAGUGUGGAAGAGAUAACCGCUGAAAGCAUCUAAGCGGGAAACUCGUUUCAAGAUGAGAUCUGCCGGGGCCUUGAGCCCCCUAAAGAGUCGUUCAAGACCAGGACGUUGAUAGGUCAGGUGUGGAAGCG
rnacentral:rRNA from 1 species